AAAGGUGACGCGACGCGCGCGAAACUGAUCCCGUGUCUUCUUCCAACAAACAAUAACUCAUUAAAAGAGAAAAACAAGAUAUAGUCCCUUGGCACGUGUGAGGAACUCUCCUGUGUCCUUUGCUCUCCCAGCCAAUUCCACAGUAUCUAUUUGUGGUGAGCUCCGCCAGUCCUGUUUGCCUCCCAAACGCUCAAAACAUCCUUGGCCGGCGCAUGCUUCUAUACCGAGAUCUGAGAUAACGUGGUGUCCUUUAUGAUCAAAACAAGUUACAUUUUACUGCUGUUAUGAGUUUGUCAGUAUAACAUCCCUGCCCACAGCAGUGAAGGAACCAGUGAUUUCUACUGGGUUCGUGGUGGGCAAGCCUGUGUUCCACAGAGCGUCUGCCAGGAUACAGUGUACAUGGUGACAAACCACUCUGGAGAACAGCAAGGUUAGCAGGGCCAUGCUGGCAUGGCUCUCGAGGCAAUAGCAAUUGCACAUUUGAGUCACGUGGAUAUUCCUGCAAUCCAUCUGCUCAGCCGUUCCCAUAAACAAUGAAGAGCUUCAUGGCGGGACGUCGGCGGGAUGGUGGUACAGCCUGCUUCUCUGUGCCAGGUCUCGCUGGGUCCCGCUUGAGGUGGAAAAGUCUUUCUGCUUCAGACAGGCACAGCUGAGGCAUGCAGUAGCACACCGACCACAUAGCUGGAACGCCUCAGUUGUCAUAUACGACUGAUUAUGAGCGAUUUUGGGAACCGGUGUAAACUCUGCCUCCCAAUGGACCGUCUCCAGCUCUCAACCCCCACACACACACACACACGUACACACAUCCUGCAACCCAACACUCCAGACGGGCAGCAACAAUUCCGGCAACUGCAAAACAGGCCCCGGCUAUACAAACAAGAUCAGACUUGUGUCUGGUCACUGAGCAGUUAUAGAAGUUAUUGGGCUCAAACGGUAAAAUACAUUGAGCUCAUGAGAGAUGCCUCUAUCUGAUGACUGUCAUGCGUGUCGUCCAGGAGUUCUAACGAAGGCAACUCUAUAUGUAACUAGCAGGCUUGUUGGCACUGCCUCCUGUCUGCAUGGUGAGUGAUGUCUCAGGACAGACAUGCUGCAGACCCGCAUGCCUGCUGAUGUUUUUCUCCCACCCCCUGGGUCUGGCCAGGUGCGGGGGAAGCCUUCAUGAGCUGCUUGCUCUGUGACCGUCUCCGCGAUCGGCCUCUGGGCGUCUGGGCACAGACGUUAAGUCCCCAUAAACCCUCUGAUCUUGCAUUCAGAUUAGUGGAGGUGAAAAGACCACUUUGUGAAGAAUCUUAACCAGGAAACAUAAGUCACUUUCAUAUUGCUCUGGUGGGUUAAGCCAUGUUGGAUUCAACCCGGGCAUGGAUAUGGCCGAUCUUGUAUAGGAGAAGUAAAGAAAUGUGCUGAUCUACGAUCGGUUAAUUGUUUUGACCAUGGGUUAGGUAGUGGAAGAGGGUUUUAGGUCAGCAUUAACUUUAGGUCAGAUAUUACGCACGGUAGGUCUGUGUACCAAGAGGCUACAUCGCUAAUUCAUUGAACUGUCUGAUCCAAGUCGCUGACACAACAUAGCCUGAUGACCCAUAACGCAAGAAGCGCAUUUUGAGCACGCACACGUCUUCAAACUGACAACAACGUGCAUUUUUAUUCACAGCGUGAGCUCGACGCUAAUCUGGUCUAAUAAGGAGCGCAAAUCCAAAAGCGCAUUAGCCGCUGUUAACGGUGGAGCUGCGUACGAUCCAAACGCAGGCCCUUCGGCAGGGGAAUUCUAGCUUUGAUGUGGACGAUUUUUUUUAAGCAAGUGCAUUUUGCACGGUCUGCCUCCA